rnacentral:lncRNA from 1 species
AUACAAAUAAGAAUGUGUGACUUCCAUUUUAGGGCAAUACACAAAAUGAACAAUACACUGAAUUCUGGCAUGCAAUUGAUGUAUCAUGGCAUGCAUAGGUAGACCCCUAGCACAAUACACAAAAUGAACAAUACACUGAAUUUUGACACGCAAUUGACGUAUCAUGGUACACAUAGGUAGACCACCUGGCAUAAUACACAAAAUGAAUAAUAUACUGAAUUUCGACAUGCAAUUGACAUAUCAUGGGAUGCAUUGGAAGAGACACAUGGUCUCUGACUGCCUUCCCUCUGAAUAAAUUGAUCAGCACC